GAAUUGUUCGCAAUGGGCGCAAGCCUGACGACGCAACGCCGCGUGGAGGAUGAAGGUCUUCGGAUUGUAAACUCCUGUUGCCCGGGACGAAUAGCUUCGACCUAAUACGUCGAAGUCUGACGGUACCGGGUGAGGAAGCCCCGGCUAACUCUGUGCCCGCCGCCGCGGUAAGACAGAGGGGGCAAGCGUUGUUCGGAAUUACUGGGCGUAAAGGGCGCGUAGGCGGCCUGUUAAGUCGAACGUGAAAUCCCCGAGCUCAACUCGGGAACUGCGUCCGAUACUGGCAGGCUUGAAUCCGGGAGAGGGAUGCGGAAUUCCAGGUGUAGCGGUGAAAUGCGUAGAUAUCUGGAGGAACACCGGUGGCGAAGGCGGCAUCCUGGACCGGCAUUGACGCUGAGGCGCGAAAGCCAGGGGAGCAAACAGG
rnacentral:rRNA from 1 species